GGACACAGAGUGAACAUGAGGGCCCCCACUCAGCUCCUCAGUCUCCUUCUGCUCUGGCUCCGCCCAGGUGCCAGGUGUGACCUCCAGGUCACCCAGUCUCCAUCCUUCCUGUCUGCAUCUCUAGGAUGCAGAGUCUCCAUCACUUGCUGGGCCAGUCAGAGCAUUGACAGUGAACUAGACUGGUAUCCACAGAAACCAGGGCAAGAUUCUAAGCUCCUGAUCUAUUAUGCAACCAGACUGCACACCAGAAUCCCAUCCUGGUUCAGUGGCAGUGGAUCUGGGACAGAUUUCACCCUCACCAUCAGCAGUCUGGAGGCUGAAGAUGCUGCAACUUACUACUGUCAACAGGAUCAUAGUACACCUCCCACAGUGUUACACACCUAA